rnacentral:rRNA from 1 species
UGGCUCAGAUUGAACGCUGGCGGCAGGCCUAACACAUGCAAGUCGAGCGGCAGCGGGAAGUAGCUUGCUACUUUGCCGGCGAGCGGCGGACGGGUGAGUAAUGUCUGGGAAACUGCCUGAUGGAGGGGGAUAACUACUGGAAACGGUAGCUAAUACCGCAUGACCUCGAAAGAGCAAAGUGGGGGAUCUUCGGACCUCACGCCAUCGGAUGUGCCCAGAUGGGAUUAGCUAGUAGGUGAGGUAAUGGCUCACCUAGGCGACGAUCCCUAGCUGGUCUGAGAGGAUGACCAGCCACACUGGAACUGAGACACGGUCCAGACUCCUACGGGAGGCAGCAGUGGGGAAUAUUGCACAAUGGGCGCAAGCCUGAUGCAGCCAUGCCGCGUGUGUGAAGAAGGCCUUAGGGUUGUAAAGCACUUUCAGCGAGGAGGAAGGCAUCANACUUAAUACGUGUGGUGAUUGACGUUACUCGCAGAAGAAGCACCGGCUAACUCCGUGCCAGCAGCCGCGGUAAUACGGAGGGUGCAAGCGUUAAUCGGNAUUACUGGGCGUAAAGCGCACGCAGGCGGUUUGUUAAGUCAGAUGUGAAAUCCCCGCGCUUAACGUGGGAACUGCAUUUGAAACUGGCAAGCUAGAGUCUUGUAGAGGGGGGUAGAAUUCCAGGUGUAGCGGUGAAAUGC